rnacentral:rRNA from 1 species
UACGAAGGGUGCAAGCGUUACUCGGAAUUACUGGGCGUAAAGCGUGCGUAGGUGGUUUUUUGAGUCCGUUGUGAAAGCCCUGGGCUCAACCUGGGAAUGGCAGUGGAUACUGGAAAGCUAGAGUGCGGUAGAGGGUAGUGGAAUUCCCGGUGUAGCAGUGAAAUGCGUAGAGAUCGGGAGGAACACCAGUGGCGAAGGCGGCUACCUGGACCAGCACUGACACUGAGGCACGAAAGCGUGGGGAG